rnacentral:rRNA from 1 species
UACGAAGGGGGCUAGCGUUGUUCGGAAUUACUGGGCGUAAAGCGCACGUAGGCGGAUAUUUAAGUCAGGUGUGAAAUCCCGGGGCUCAACCCCGGAACUGCCUUUGAUACUGGGUAUCUAGAGUCCAGAAGAGGUGAGUGGAAUUCCGAGUGUAGAGGUGAAAUUCGUAGAUAUUCGGAGGAACACCAGUGGCGAAGGCGGCUCACUGGUCUGGUACUGACGCUGAGGUGCGAAAGCGUGGGGAGCAAACAGG